rnacentral:rRNA from 1 species
GACGAGGGAUCCUAGCGUUGUUCGGAAUCAUUGGGCGUAAAGCGUGUGCAGGUGGUUCUGUAAGUUAGAUGUGAAAGCCUUGGGCUUAACCCAAGAAGUGCAUUUAAAACUACAAAACUUGAGUAUGGAAGAGGGUCGUGGAAUUCCAGGUGUAGUGGUGAAAUAACGUAGAUAUCUGGAGGAACACCGGUGGCGAAGGCGGCGACCUGGUCCUUGACUGACGCUGAGGCGCGAAAGCGUGGGGAGCAAACAGG